CAUGGAAACACCGGUUCUCGUGCGAUCACCGAAAUUAAGCAACAUCGAGCCUUGUCACUACCUAAGUGGGUGACCUGCUUUCGAAUACCAGGUGCUGUUAG